rnacentral:rRNA from 1 species
GAUGAACGCUGGCGGCGUGCCUAAUACAUGCAAGUCGAGCGAACGGACGAGAAGCUUGCUUUUCUGAUGUUAGCGGCGGACGGGUGAGUAAAACGUGGAUCAAAUACCUAUAUGACUGGGAAAACUUCGGGACCCCGGAGCCAAUACCGGCUAAUAUUUUGCUCCGUAUGGUUCAAAAGUGCAAGACGGUCUUGCUGUCACUUAUCGAUGGAUCCGCUCUGCUUUAGCUAGUUGGUAAGGUAACGGCUUACCAAGGCAACUAUCCAUACCCGACCUCAGGGGGUGAUCGACCACACUGGAACUGGGACACGGUCCAGACUGCUGCGGUAGGCAGCAGUAGGGAGUCUACCGCAAUGGGCGAAAGUCGUACAUUACAACCCCGCGUGAGUGAUGAAGGUUUUCGGAUCGUAAAACUCAGUUUGGAAGGAUGAACAUAUGUGUGAGUAUCGGUGCGCAGCUAGACGGGGCUUAGGCAGAAAGCCACGGCUAACUACGUG